CUGAGGAAGCCCUGAGAACAAUGCUAACCGAGUCAUUCUUCAUGCACGCUUCCCAGCAGAACAAGUCAGACCUUGUGUGGAGGAAGAAAGAAAUAGCUGGUUCCAGCCAGAGCUGGGAAAGGAACACCCUAUCAGGCAGAAACCAAGGAAGUUCUCAAAGAAAGAGGCUUCAGCCAGCCUGACAGGGGGAAAUUAGAUCAUCAAAAUCAUGAUGCAGGAUUACAAACCACUGAAUAAACUAAGAAUUCAUGAGUCUA